rnacentral:rRNA from 1 species
UACAGAGGUCCCGAGCGUUGUUCGGAUUCACUGGGCGUAAAGGGUGCGUAGGUGGUUGGGUAAGUCUGAUGUGAAAUCUCCGGGCUCAACCCGGAAAUGGCAUUGGAUACUAUCUGGCUAGAGGUUUGGAGGGGGGACUGGAAUUCUCGGUGUAGCAGUGAAAUGCGUAGAUAUCGAGAGGAACACCGGUGGCGAAGGCGGGUCUCUGGGCCGAUACUGACGCUGAGGAGCGAAAGCGUGGGGAGCGAACAGG